rnacentral:rRNA from 1 species
UUUAUGGAGAGUUUGAUCCUGGCUCAGGAUGAACGCUGGCGGCGUGCCUAAUACAUGCAAGUCGAGCGAACUGACGAGGAGCUUGCUCCUUUGACGUUAGCGGCGGACGGGUGAGUAACACGUGGGUAACCUACCUAUAAGACUGGAAUAACUCCGGGAAACCGGGGCUAAUGCCGGAUAACAUAUCGAACCGCAUGGUUCGAUAGUGAAAGACGGUCUUGCUGUCACUUAUAGAUGGACCCGCGCCGUAUUAGCUAGUUGGUGAGGUAACGGCUCACCAAGGCAACGAUACGUAGCCGACCUGAGAGGGUGAUCGGCCACACUGGAACUGAGACACGGUCCAGACUCCUACGGGAGGCAGCAGUAGGGAAUCUUCCGCAAUGGGCGAAAGCCUGACGGAGCAACGCCGCGUGAGUGAUGAAGGUCUUCGGAUCGUAAAGCUCUGUUGUUAGGGAAGAACAAAUGUGUAAGUAACUGUGCACAUCUUGACGGUACCUAACCAGAAAGCCACGGCUAACUACGUGCCAGCAGCCGCGGUAAUACGUAGGUGGCAA